GACGAACGCUGGCGGCGUGCUUAACACAUGCAAGUCGAACGGAAAGGCCCUGCUUUUGUGGGUUGCUCGAUUGGCGCACGGGUGAGUAACACGUGAGUAACCUGCCCUUGACUUUGGGAUAACUUCAGGAAACUGGGGCUCAUAUCGGAUAGGAUCUCCUGCUGCAUGGUGGGGGUUGGUAAGUUUCGGCGGUUGGGGAUGGACUCGCGGCUUAUCAGCUUGUUGGGGGGGUAGGGGCUUACCAAGGCUUUGACGGGUAGCCGGCCUGAGAGGGUGACCGGCCACAUUGGGACUGAGAGACGGCCCAGACUGCUACGGGAGGCAGCGGUGGGGAAUAUUGCAGAAUGGGCGGAAGCCUGAGGCAGCAACGCCGCGUGCGGGAUGACGGCCUUCGGGGUGUAAACCGAUGUGGCCGGUGACGAAGCGUGAGUGACGGUAAUGGGUAAAGAAGCACCGGCUAACUACGUG
rnacentral:rRNA from 1 species